UUUUUUAAGACCUUAAAAAUAUUUCAUCUCUCCAUUUCUGCUCUGUGUGAAUUGCAUUACUUCAGGUCCAAGAGCCUGAAACCAUCCAGACAAGACAGAAGGGUCAUCACAUCAGUGAAUUGUGGUGCUCCAUGAUUCCUCCCUCAGUGAAUAUUGCUAUUAAAGAAUCAUUCUCUCCAUAAUACCGAGAAAUAAAGUGGAACAAGUAGUACUGGGUCUUAACUUUUAAACAAUGUUCCUUCCUGUGACUACAAAACAUCUAAAUCUCUUAUGUUCUUUUCUCCUGACUCAGAUUAUUGAGAUUUGAGGAGGGAGAAUUGAAGAGGGAUUUCUAUUCAUCCACCAUGAUUUCUAUUCUCCAAACUUUGUGUCAACUGUAAAUUUAAUAAAUAUGCCAUUUAUACCUCUAUCA
rnacentral:lncRNA from 1 species